rnacentral:lncRNA from 1 species
GUGGAAUUGGGGAACAGAUAGGAGAGUCAGAUCUUCACCUGCGGGUGCCCCCUUUCCCUGUUACCAUCUCUGAAGCAAGUCUACGAAGAGUGAUCACGUUCUACCGCACCCUCGUGGAGAGAGGGAAACUGAGUCCCAGAAGGAUGCAUCGGAAUCUUGGCCUGACGUGGCUGUGGAGUGGUUGCAGAGACUUGACGUCAAGUCCCUCCCCAGCCUGGGGGCCUCAGAAUUCCACUGUCCUGACCAGAAAGCCAACCCCUAUUCUCUGUGACCGGCAGCCACUGAGGGAAGAGCCGAUCUGUCACACACACCCCGGACAGACCCGUCCUGGAAAACCGGAAGGCAGAAUUGAAAGGUAAGCUCUGACUUUGAUGUGUAGCAAAACACAUGCAAAGCCUG